rnacentral:rRNA from 1 species
GAUGAACGCUGGCGGCGUGCCUAAUACAUGCAAGUCGAGCGAACAGACGAGGAGCUUGCUCCUCUGACGUUAGCGGCGGACGGGUGAGUAACACGUGGAUAACCUACCUAUAAGACUGGGAUAACUUCGGGAAACCGGAGCUAAUACCGCAUAAUAUAUUGAACCGCAUGGUUCAAUAGUGAAAGACGGUUUUGCUGUCACUUAUAGAUGGAUCCGCGCCGCAUUAGCUAGUUGGUAAGGUAACGGCUUACCAAGGCAACGAUGCGUAGCCGACCUGAGAGGGUGAUCGGCCACACUGGAACUGAGACACGGUCCAGACUCCUACGGGAGGCAGCAGUAGGGAAUCUUCCGCAAUGGGCGCAAGCCUGACGGAGCAACGCCGCGUGAGUGAUGAAGGCCUUCGGGUCGUAAAACUCUGUUAUUAGGGAAGAACAAAUGUGUAAGUAACUACGCACGUCUUGACGGUACCUAAUCAGAAAGCCACGGCUAACUACGUG